UUUACCUGUUGGAAAUUAUUACACUGGUUUGUCUGGGUAAGAAGAAUCAGCAAGAGAAUAAUCCUUCUGUGGCCAUGGGAUAGUGCAGUUGAAAUCUCUUGCUUUUCCUGCCAUCCUCAGUCCCAUUUCCCCAUCACACAAAUAUUAGACUUCAGAGAUGUUCAUCUGAUGCUGGGAUGAGUCAAUAUACCUGGUUUUAGAUGCUCCAGGAGCCCAACGGAGACAACAAAUAUUCUAGGGCAGGAAACCUGAUAAGUUCAGGUCCUGGCUCUGAUCCGGUUGCUUCUCAGACUAAAAGAAAGAGAAAAAGAAGUCUCCAGGCUGGAAGGUGCUGGAAGCUUAAAAAUGUGAGAAGCUGAAUUUUGCACUAAAAGAGGAACAAUUUUAAACAAGAAUUACUUGGAGAAUGCAGAACUGUUCAAGGAAAAAUGUUAGGCUGCUUAUUACGAUUGACAGAGCAGUGCACAUUGCUGGGCUUCAUCUAGGGGAGGAUUAAAAGAAUCCUUACACACCUUCCCACCAGAAUUCACAGUUAGAAGAUGCCAGAAGAUUGUUUUGAUCUGAUACGCACUGGAAAAAGCUUUUACUGUUUAUUUAAAAUAAAGGCCAGCUUCCAUACGGCUCUUGUUGCCCCUGCUCUCUGCCAAGGCUUUUCAGUGUGGAAACAUGACUGCAGCAGGUGAGCACUAAUGCACAGACAAGAGGGGAAUGCUCAGAUGCACACGAGAAAAUGACAAGUCCCCUACAAACACACUCCAGGGUCUUACUAGAAAAAAGGGCUGGACUACAAAGAGAGAAG